AUUGAACGCUGGCGGCAGGCCUAACACAUGAAAGUCGAGCGAGCGGCGGACGGGUGAGUAAUGUAUGGGGAUCUGCCUGAUAGCGGGGGAUAACUACUGGAAACGGUGGCGAAUACCGCAUACUAUCGGCUGAACCCAUAUGGGAUUAGCUAGUAGGUGGGGUAAAGGCUCACCUAGGCGACGAGCUCUAGUUUGUCUGAGAGGAUGAUCAGCCACACUGGGACUGAGACACGGCCCAGACUCUUACGGGAGGCAGCAGUGGGGAAUAUUGCACAAUGGGCGCAAUCCUGAUGCAGCCAUGCCGCGUGUAGGAAGAAGGCCUUAGGGUUGUAAAGUACUUUCAGCGGGGAGGCGUUACCCGCAGAAGAAGCACCGGCUAACUCCGUGCCAGCAGCCGCGGUAAUUC
rnacentral:rRNA from 1 species